rnacentral:rRNA from 1 species
GAGUUUGAUCCUGGCUCAGGAUGAACGCUAGCGGCAGGCCUAACACAUGCAAGUCGAGGGGUAGAAUGUCUUCGGAUGUUUGAGACCGGCGCACGGGUGCGUAACGCGUAUGCAACCUACCUUUUACUGGAGAAUAGCCCGGAGAAAUUCGGGUUAAUGCUCCAUAUGCUCGUACGACCUCAUGGUCGAGCGAGGAAAGCUCCGGCGGUAAGAGAUGGGCAUGCGUCCUAUUAGCUUGUUGGUGAGGUAACGGCUCACCAAGGCUACGAUAGGUAGGGGGCCUGAGAGGGUGACCCCCCACACUGGUACUGAGACACGGACCAGACUCCUACGGGAGGCAGCAGUGAGGAAUAUUGGGCAAUGGAGGAAACUCUGACCCAGCCAUGCCGCGUGCAGGAAGACGGCCCUAUGGGUUGUAAACUGCUUUUGUACGAGAAUAAACCUUUCCACGUGUGGAAAGCUGAAGGUACCGUACGAAUAAGGAUCGGCUAACUCCGUGCCAGCAGCCGCGGUAAUACGGAGGAUCCAAGCGUUAUCCGGAUUUAUUGGGUUUAAAGGGUCCGUAGGCGGGUCUUUAAGUCAGUGGUGAAAGCCUGCAGCUUAACUGUAGAAUUGCCAUUGAUACUGGAGGCCUUGAGUGUAGUAGAAGUAGGCGGAAUAAGGCAUGUACCGGUGAAAU